rnacentral:rRNA from 1 species
CCUACGGGUGGCAGCAGUGAGGAAUAUUGGUCAAUGGACGCAAGUCUGAUCCAGCGACGCCGCGUGCAGGAAGACGGCUCUAUGUAUUGUAAACUGCUUUUGUACGAGGGUAAAUGCAGAUACCCGUCUCUGACUCAACGUAUCGCUCCAAUACGGACCCGCCAACACCGGGCAAGCAGCCGCGGUAAUCCGGAGGUUUCAAGCGUUAUCCGGACUUAUUGGGUUCAAAGGGUGCGUAGGCGGUUGGAUAAGUUCGAGGUGAAAACCCGGGGCUCAACUUCGGAACUGCAUCUGAUACUGUUCGACUAGAGUGUAGGUGAGGUAAGCGGAAUGUUUGGUGUAGCGGUGAAAUGCUUAGAGAUCAUGAGGAACACCCGUGGCGAAGGCAGCUUACCGGACU